rnacentral:misc_RNA from 1 species
ACAAUGAAUAGGCACCCGCCGGGAUAUGUCCGUGGUAACGGCUAAAUAUCUUGCAAUUGAAUUCCCUCGCCGCCGCCGUCAUGUUAGAAUAGAAUAGAAUAGAAUAGAAAAAGUUUAUUAUAAAAGGACGCCACUCACAAAAAAAAAGACAACAACAUCAUAUCAAAUUUCCACUAAAACAAUUACAAAAAAGCAAGACGGAUGUUUGUCGAAAUGACCAUAAGGUGGUGGUGGACGUCCUGAGAUAAAAGGGCCUCACUCAGCACAAGUCGCGGCGUGAACCACGACGCUGAUAUUAUGUGGACCCUGUUGGGUGACGCACGAACAUCGUAUUUCAUAAACAUGUGUUAAUGGUGUAUAUAUUCCAAUUCAAUUCCAAAAUAUACUUUAUAAUAUAUACCAAAUUAUUUUAAUAGAAUUAGAGUGUACAUAGACAAAUAUUAUCGCAAAGAUGUAUACGUAAAUACUUAAGGUUAGAAUAAAAAAGAAAGUUAUUAAUAUAGGUAAAACUAGUAAACAAAUGUAAUAAUAUAAACAAAUACGAAUUCCAUGAAUGUGUAUUGUGUAGUCUGUCUGUGUUAGAACCUAUAUGUAUAUCGCGCGCGCCGCACCCCGAUUCUAGCUCGGUCGGUAAAGUAGUUUGGUUACUACUAGUACUUACAAACAAAAUAUUUUUUUUUCCAUUCGACCGCCGCGCCGCCGAACGGGCACAACGUGUUCCUAAAGUAAAGCGAGAUUAUAUAUUUGUAAUAGAAUUGCGUAUAUUAAUUAAAAAGAAAAAAUAAAGUGAAUCAAAUAAAGCAAAUAUUAUACAUUAACCAAAUUAGAAACAAUAAAUUACGUCCAAUACACUCAACAACAUCCAUAGUAAAUAAUAGAAACGUGCAGUCGUUUGAAAACCCCAAUAAACAAUCCAUGAGACCAUGCAAACAUUACCCGAAGGAAAAUAAUAAUAAUCAUGACAAAGGUUGUGUCGCCGCAUCCAGCCCGCUAGGAGGACUCCGCCACGUUGACGUGUCGAAACCAAUUAGACUACGAAACGGCGGCGGCAAAUCGUUCCAGCACCUGGAUGCGGCGAACCUGAAACUGCCCCGGAAAGCGGUGGUGCGGUGACGAGGCACCGCGAGCAUCUCUCGUUUCGCCUGCUAUGUUCUAUUGUGGAUGGCAUCUCGGUGCAGUGGACAGGCACCCACAUCGAGACAUCAGACGGUUGGUUCUGAUUGGAUGUACGCAGGCGCAGAAGCCACUUAUACUCAAGGCUUUUGGCAUACAGGACUUGUCUUACGAGACUUUCGUUUCGGUUGCAAGAAUGACUUAUUCUAUAUUCGCAGUAUUUUAUCAGCGUGGAGAGUGAAUGAACAGUUCCUCGAAUACAAAUUAUGGCCCCAUUAAUGAAAUAAUUACAAGCUUUCAUUAAAUGCAUAUUAAUCAGUUCAAAAGGCCAAUUCGUGGAAUAAAGUUCGGAACAAUCGACGAAUUUUAACAAAUUUUCAUCUUCAUAAGUUAAGGAGAUGCCAACAAGUAUUGGUGUGUUUUCUUAAAAUAACUUGUUUAUCCUCGCACUAAAUUGUUCCAUUGAAAGGCAAUAAUUAUGUAAAAUUUAAACUAUUUUAAGUAUUUUGAAAUUAAAUGAAAAAUGUUCUCUUUCGAUGGUUUCUAUAGGUACGUAUACGUAGUAUUAUUACUUAUUCUAUGCUAUAGGUGAACAAUACACUAAACUUAUUUAUAUACAUACACAAAGAAACUCACAGUGUUGUCGACUUUUGAAAAAGUGCUGUUUUUGUCGUUGAU